rnacentral:rRNA from 1 species
AUGUUGAAUGUCGAGUAUGAGGACCCGGACUUGUUUCAGGAUUUUGAGGAGCUGCUACCUAUGGAUACCUCUGAGGGGGGAGGUGCUUCUGGGAACCGUGGAGAUGACGCACCCGGUGAUGGUGACAGGGGUUCCAGGCCUGUGGAUUCGUCUAAGCCAGCAGAGUCUGCUCAGGGGAAAACACCGGUUUCGGCACCGUCCAACAUGCUUCAGCUUGGCUCCGUAGGGGCUUUCUCUGCGCCUCCUCGUCUUUGGAGUGAUCGUGUGGAGUUGGAUGAUCCGUCUGAGCAUGUGCCACCGGUGAUUUCGGAGGUCUUGAGGGCUGAGGAAACGGACAGACUUUCUGCACAGGAGGUUGUUUCUCCUCCUUCAUCGCCGGUACCGCGGCUGGACAUGACGACUCUUUUGGACGACUCGGCGGAGCUGGCCGGGAGUACGGUCAGGUCCUUCUCUGCUUUGCCGGUGCUCGGAUCGUCGGGACUCAGGGCCAGCGCAGUAGUAACGACCACUCCGGAGGCUCGGCGGGCCUCGGAUGGGUCUAGCGGGCAGGAGGCCCGCGCACCGCGCUCUCCUUCCUUGCCGGCAUCAGAGGUGGCUACUGAUCUUCUGGGAGGGUCGGCUGUUGGUCAAAGACCGGUGUCUUCACAGGCCAGUCCGGCCUCCCUGGCUAGGGAGGCCUCCUCACCUCUUCACGCCGCCGUUAGUGCGCCAGGGCAGGGGGUAGUCGGCUCACCGGCCCCCACUGUGUUAGGUGGGCUGGGUGGAGCCACUGCAGCUACUGCCUCCUCCUCGGUGCGCGGCGUGUGGGCUGCCCCAGAGCCAGCUGCUGGUGGGUCGCCUGUUGACGGGCUGCAGGUGGCGGCGCCGACUUCUUCUCCUGCGCUGGUGUCGGCGACCCGGGGCGUCGCUGUGGGGGGAGGGGCAGGAGGUCUCUCCCCUUGCAGGGCUUCCUGCGAGGAGGUCAUCGCCUUUGGUGGUAUCCCGGACCCUGUCACCCAGGGAAGGCGGAUCAGCGGGAGGUUGCAGGAGCAGCCGGACGUCGAUGACAUUCAACUGCGGUGUGCUUUGAGGGCUGCCAAGUUGCAGGACGUCGAGACCACCACCGGUUAUCUUCAGGACCACGGCGUUCAUCCGUAUGUGGUCGCUACUCACUCCGACGGAGGCCAGGGAGCGUUUGGUUACUGCGUCUACCCGAUGGGAGAUGGUAGCUCGGGAUAUUUUCAACCGGUUUGGAUGGCGGUCAUGUAA